GACGAACGCUGGCGGCGUGCUUAACACAUGCAAGUCGAACGGUGAAGCGAGUGCUUGCACUCGUGGAUCAGUGGCGAACGGGUGUGUAACACGUGAGUAACCUGCCCAUCACUCUGGGAUAAGCACUGGAAACGGUGUCUAAUACUGGAUACGACCAACCCUUGCAUGGGGUGUUGGUGGAAAGAUUUAUCGGUGAUGGAUGGACUCGCGGCCUAUCAGCUUGUUGGCGGGGUAAUGGCCCACCAAGGCGACGACGGGUAGCCGGCCUGAGAGGGUGACCGGCCACACUGGGACUGAGACACGGCCCAGACUCCUACGGGAGGCAGCAGUGGGGAAUAUUGCACAAUGGGCGAAAGCCUGAUGCAGCGACGCCGCGUGAGGGAUGACGGCCUUCGGGUUGUAAACCUCUUUCAGCAGGGAAGAAGCGAAAGUGACGGUACCUGCAGAAGAAGCACCGGCUAACUACGUG
rnacentral:rRNA from 1 species